CUAAGAAUAUUCCGCAAUGGACGGAAGUCUGACGGAGCGACGCCGCGUGGAUGAAGAAGGCCGAAAGGUUGUAAAGUUCUUUUGCUGGGGAAGAAUAACCGCAGGAGGGAAUGCCUGUGGGAUGACAAGAACCGGCGAAUAAGCCCCGGCCAACUACGUGCCAGCAGCCGCGGUAACACGUAGGGGGCGAGCGUUGUUCGGAAUUACUGGGCGUAAAGGGCAUGUAGGCGGCUUGGAAAGCCUGGCGUGGAAGUCUGCAGCUUAACUGCAGGGGUGCGCUGGGAACUGCUGAGCUUGAGUGACGGAGAGGGAGCUGGAAUUCCUGGUGUAGGGGUGAAAUCUGUAGAUAUCAGGAAGAACACCGAUGGCGAAGGCAAGCUCCUGGCGAUNNGA
rnacentral:rRNA from 1 species